AACAAGGUCUCCGUAGGUGAACCUGCGGAGGGAUCAUUGAAUUAUUAAAACCACAAUGUGAACCUCAACGUUCCAUGCCUUGGCUUGCCAGUGGGGCAUUCGGUUUAAAACCCGUUUGUACUCACAGCUGGGUGGGCAUUGCUGCCUGCUCAGUGGCGCCUUGGCAUGACUAUACACCAGUGCUAACCACUGUUAAAACCAAACUCUGAAGUUGUGAUUGCUAGUAACUGGCAAUCUUAACCAAAGACAACUCUCAACAACGGAUAUCUUGGCUCUCGCAACGAUGAAGAACGCAGCGAAAUGCGAUACGUAGUGUGAAUUGCAGAAUUCCGUGAACCAUCGAAUCUUUGAACGCAUAUUGCGCUCGAGCCUUCGGGCAAGAGCAUGUCUGCCUCAGCGUCGGUUUACACCCUCACCCCUCCCAACUUGUUGGGUGUGUUUGCUUCUAUAGCAGACCAUUGGGGUGGAUCUGGCUUCCCCAAUUUGCCCUUGUCGGCAGAUUGGGUUGGCUGAAGUGCAGAGGCUUAAGCAAGGACCCGAUAUGGGCUUCAACUGGAUAGGUAGCACCGGCUUCUGCCGACUACACGAAGUUGUUGCUUGUGGAUCUUGCUAGGGGCCAAGCAGGAACGUGCCUUUUGGCAUGUCUAAACUUUCGACCUGAGCUCAGGCAAGGCUACCCGCUGAACUUAA
rnacentral:sRNA from 1 species